GGUAACACGCCGCAUUAUUUAUAAGUGGCAGAGUUUGAAGCUAAAUCUCAAAAUGGAACAUAACUAAAAGGAUAUCCAAACAUCAGCCAAUACCAUGUGCCAAAAAUAGUAUAUCAAAAUUAAAUAUAUCUGGGGACCUAUUCACAUAAAAGGAAUUAUAAUACCGCUGGCGUGUUGCUUGCUCAAAUUCCGCCACUUAGUUAUUUAGUCACGUAGCGUGACUCUAUCACGUUUAUUAUGUACCUGAUUUUUACAUCAAGGAUUUUCCGGUAGGACUUAACCCACCACAGCAGCCAAAUAGCUUUGUUGUGCCAAGAGGAUUUUCCUGAGGACUGUAUGACUUCUAUAGGACUGUAGGAUCUUCCUAAGGACUUUUCAUAAAGGACUAUUUGCCCCUUUUAACAACCGGCUGUUGUAAAAGCUAAGUUUUUACCUUUCUUUUAUAUACUUUUGGUUCAUAUAAUUUUAGUAUAGUGUAAACUUUUCGUAUGCAUACGAUCAGGUAGAGUACAUAUUUUCGUGAUAGAUAGGGUUUUAGGUCGUUGUUUUUUCUUUAAUUCAAUAUAAUUAGUAGUUUGUUUAAAUAAAUAAAAUCAGGUUUUUUUUAAUAAUAAUUAUAAAUAAUUGUAGCUUAAAAUUUGAUAGGGAAUCAGGGGGUAAAAUUUUGUCGCGGAUUUUAAAUAGGGAAUAUGUCUAGUAGGUUUUUUUUGCAAGUAGGAUAUAACGAGUGCUGACCAACUCAAUAUAUAAUUAGUAUUUUUGCUAGAUGAUAUACUUAAUUUUUGGUAACCGUAGCGUUCUUGUUGUGUACCUAUCUCACUCUAGCCUAGUUCAAUUUAGGGAAUAUUACUAACUUUUAGUUGUAAGGACUUUGUGCAACUCUAACGGACUUUUGAUUUGGAUUUUGAUAUUAAUACCUUUGCUUGGCCCAGUGAUAGUGGAUAAUUGCUUGUUAAGUGGCCUUUGCGGUCCUAUUUGAUCUUUUCACCAUCCACUAUCACUGUUAUUAAGUUGCGUUAUAUGUAAAUUGUUAAUAUGUAACAUUUAUUGUUAAUAUAUUUGUUAUUAGGAA